CAUAUCGAGCAUCAGUUCAAGACAACAUCUAGUUACUUCGGCCCACAUAUGGACUGAAUUUCAAGUCUCCAGCUAAAAGACUCUCUUGACUGAAGACUUGGGGGACUAUUGUUUAUACCAUAUUUAGGGUCUCUGUAUUUAGAUAUCGUACAAAUACUCAGAGGACUUAAAUGUAAUUAUGUAAUAAAGGAAUUGGCAAAUAUGUAAUAAGUGAGGAACCCUUAUUCUAUAAAAAGACUCCUCACCCUCACAAUUAGGGGAGACCAAUUCUGAAGCCUUCUCACCCCUUUCACAUCCCCUCUCAUAUUCAGAGGUUCUCUCCCUCACCUCUCAGAUAAAUACAAUAAUCAGUGUGGACGUAGCCCAAACCUUGGGGUGAACCACGAUACAUCUUGUGUUAUUUACAAAUUUUGCACGAUACAUCUGUGUUAUUUACAUUACUUGCAGAUUCACGGCCAGAUUUACGUUGUUCCAAGACCUUUGGUUUUGUGCAUCAACAAUAUUCGUUUUCUUCACCUCAUUUCUAAUUGGCCUUGAUAUUAGAAUCUCAACUUUUUGUAUGAUAUCAAAGAGUAGAUUCGUCCCCAUUUGAAUUCCAAUGACUACACAUGCUCACGUCAUUUAGUUAAAAUUGUUCAUGUUUAGACUUGAAAGCCCGUCACACAUGAUCUUCAACUUCAUGCAACGAGAGAUUCUUGGAUAUCUCUAUUUGUAUAUCUUCUUAAUGAAAUACACACAAAAGAUAUGCAACUAAUCACAAGAUAAUUUCUCUCAUGCAACAUGUAAGAACUUUGUUGUGGAUUAAAUUAGACCAACUUUGACGUUUAUAUCAAACCAACAAAGUUUAUGCAAUGAAAUGUCAGUUUCACAUCAACAAUUAAAAUCACAUAUGCACGAAUGAGCUAUUGACUGUAACAUAGUUAUCGCUCACUGUAACAAUUGAAGGUCUUCUCAGUAAUAAAGCCUAUAAGGGUAUAUGAGUCAUUCUAGGAAAUGAAAAGGACAGAGGAAGGAUCAAGACUUGAGUGAGUUCAAAUCUUUUGCAUCUAAAAUUUUAUGUGUCAUCUCCGCAACAUGUCUUAUUUAUUGACACCUGAUUAUUUAUUUUAAUCCCAUCUAAUAGUGUUUCUUCAAUAAACAAAUAAUUUUUUUUUAAAGAUAAUCAAGACAAAAAGACGUGUAUCACUCAACUACAUAUAUAUAUAGGCUACAUAAGAUUGAACUCUCAAGACCCACCCAAAAGAGAAGAGUAUCAAGCUGGCCAUGUAAUUUUUGGGAAGAAUAAUAAUUGGCUAUUCAAAGGAUGACUAUGAGUUUCUACUCAAAAUUGUUCGUUGUCAAUUCAUAGAACUUCAUGUUUAUGAUUAGAACCGUUCAUAUAUAAAUAACUUUAUAAAAAUUGUCUUUGCAAAAAAACCAAUUAAAACCAAGUUCGUUUAGUCAUCAAACUGUAUACAAACAGAUGAACAAAAUUGUUGUCUAUGUAUUUGCUAUAAUAGAUUGACUAAACGACUUUAGUUUUAAGUCAUUUUUUGCAUAGAUGAUAUUUACAGAGUAAUUCAUAAUAUAAAUAGUUAUGAUCAUAAGUACAAAGCUUUGCGAUUCGAACACAAUUAGUUUUGAGUAGAAGUUUCUCCUCAAAAUAAACCAAACGAAUGAGGAUUCUCGCUGAAUCCUCCAAUCACACCCGUUUAUCGUACAUCAUGCGGUCAGAAAUUAUUGUGAUUUUUUUAUUUAAAAUUGAAUAUAAACAAUACCUAAUAAAAACUGGUCGCACGAUGUAUUAUCAACAGAUGUGAUCCUCUCUCAAACCAAACAAUUGAAUCCACGUGGUGCGUUGUGAUUGUAGAGAAUUGUCCAUCACUUAAAACUCUACGUUUUCUUUUGUCGUUUUCACAGUUCUGCCAAUCUUAAGACAUGCCAUUUCUUCAUUCCAAUUUUCACCUUCCUUUUUACCGUAAUAGGUGAUCCCUUUAUCCUUUUACCAACCCUUAUUUAAUUAUGGAAAAAAGACUUAUCUGCAUCAUCUUAAUGCAUGUAUUUAAUUUAGAGAGUUUUAACGAAAAACUCAAGUUACUGUUUAUUUUAACGAAAAACCACAUUUUUAUACGAAAAACCACAUUUUUAUACUAAAAAGUCAAACUUAGUACUAUUCAUUUUACCAUUUAUUUUGUCAUUAUCGUUAAAACUCAAAAUUUUUAAACAAUUUUCAUUAAUUUUCCUUUUAAUUUAUUCAAAGUUGUUUAAAGUGGAAUCUACUUUUUGGAGAAUACGAGGACAACCCUAAAAUGGUGUUUCAAACUUCACCCAUAUUUUGUCUUAAAAUACAAUUAUUGUCUCAUCCUUCACCUAUUUUUAUCUCAUUAUUUCUUAAAUUGUGUUUCAAACUUCAUUUUCUUGGACUUUACUCUUUAACGGCCAUGGAGAGAGAUUUUGCACUUUCAUCAAAAGAAAGGUGAAAACAAUUACUCACAUCACAUAACGUUCUGAUUCAACAAUACAAUUUUAUGUAAAAAAGUGAGUACAUAAUUAUAUUAUUGGAUACAAAAGCCACGAUAAUAGUUGAACAAAUUUUAUCACUCGUUAAAUAUGAACACGUUAACCGUAUUUUUUCCUUUGAUCAUAGAAUACUUGUGUCACGUGACGGUACCUAAAACCCAAAUAAAGUAAUUUUUAUUCUUUGGUAACAAGUAAUUUUCCUUUCUUUUUGGCCAAACAAAGUAAGUUUCCGUUUUUGAUAAUUUACUCUAGGGUUAUUUUCUUCAAGUUUCACACUUUUCACACGUGUAUAAGUAGUAAAAAUAAAUAAAUAUAUUUUUUGAAAAAUUCGGAGUCAUACGCUUGUAUAAAUUCAUCGUUUUUCUGGAGGGUUUUUAUCUGUAUUGUUUAUUCGAUUCUCCGAACUGAAUCGUACAUUUCUCUCUCUCUCUCUCUCUCUCUCUCAUGACAUGGAUUGAUUAAUGAAACCAUCUUGAAUUUUUACUCUCUCUCUAAACCGACACACCCCACACUUUCUCUCUCUUAGGGUUUCGCAGAGAGCUUCCCAGUUGCGAGGAACAAGAUAAAGAGAACAAUCUUUAGGGUUUUUGGCUUUCUUUCAACUUCCAGAGGAAGCCGCUGGGUUUGCGCUGAUCGUGGAAGUGUUAAUUUCUCACGGCUACUUCAGGGGCACGGUGAAUCGGCUUGCGAUUGCAGUUUUGUGAGGUUUGAGUUCUUUCUCGAUAACUGUGAAGCUUUUGGGGUUUUGGAAUUCGAAAUUUGUAUGGGAAAGUUAUGGUUUAGGGUUUGUGGUUUUGGUUUGCUAAUUUUGGUGCUGUUAGAAAUUGGAGGGGAGAUGAACAAAAUGGAGGGUAUUUUAUUUGGAUAGGGCUUUGGGCAUAGCAAAUUUAAGCAAAUUUGUAGUUAGAUUAAGUUGAUUAGCAGUACAUUACAUGAAUUUUAUACUUUUGCUCUGCUUUCCCAUGUAAGCCCAAUGCCGUCUUUCGGCCAAGCAGUUUCGUCUACAUUUUUCUUUUUCGGUUUCGAGACAAAAGAUUCUACGUCUAUGUAGGAGUAUCGGUUUGUAAACUAUGUUACUUAUUAGCUUUUAGUUGCUUACUUGGAUUGGUUAUUGACAAUGUGCGCAUUUUUGCAGCUGACGGAAGUAAUAUUUGAAUGUAAGGUUGUUUACAAGUUAUCGAGAGAGAGUCCCCCUGACCAUUUGAUUCUGCGUCGGUAAAUGUAGUGUAGAGGAUUAUGAAUGAUUGCUGUCAUGGACUUGAAUGCCUCGCCAGUACCUGAAGAAGAUGAGGAUGCUUUUGAGAAUCAUAUAGAAUACGUUGCCCCAGAAGAACGUAUAGAGAGUGGAGUUGAUAUAGCACGGCGGGUACUAUUUUUUUCUCGUUUAAAUGGCCUGCUCAUGUAGUGGCAACUGGAUCAUAUCGUUUCUUUUGUUAGUGUAGUUAUUGUUCUGGCCAUAUAUGCUUUUGUUUGGGAUCUCCAGUGAGAUUGAAAGCAUUACAGGGCAUUUUGUAUUGUUUUUGAUUGAUUGUAGUUGGGGGCUUUCAUUACUUCUGAAGCUUAUAUCUUUCCAUGGCCUUUGGAAUUGAUGGAUAUUAUUUUGUAUGCAAAAGGUUGUAUGGAAACAACCAUAAACUUGGUGGAAGCCCUUGCAACAUUUAUGGUCAUAAGACGGGGAUUUAGAAAUUCAAAAUAACAUAGGAGACAAAAUACUUUAUGCUGCUAUAUUCAACUGCAUGUACAAUUUUUUGAAACUAAUAUGUCGCUGUGGGGCAAACAGAUUUUUUGGUCUGGUUAGCUUAUUAAUAUAUGAUAUAUGGGGGAAAUUAUGCCUUCGGAAGUUUUACAACUCUCUCUCUCUCUCAUGUGCAUGCACAAUUUCCCCAUGCGCACACCUGUGAGCACACACACAGCGGUUCACAUACACAAAGAUUAGCCAUGAAAUAUUUUCAUUCUUUUUAUUUUAUUUUAUAUAUUAUGUAUAUAUGUUGAUCUCAACAUUUUAUGUGCCUGGCUGCUGAUAUUGUGUUUUCCUUGUAUUAGGAGCGUGAAGAAAGACGUAAGCGAUUGAAACGAGAACGCCCAGAUGAAAAACCAGUGCAUGUUUCUCAACCCCCUGCAUACGAUUCAUAUCAAACAAAAAACCCCAAAGUUUACGACAAAUCUAGGCUCCCCAAUGGUAAGUAUGCUGUCUGUAGUAUGUUGUUAGGUUUACUAAUAUGUUUUUAUUUCCAUAAGUUGCAUUGCUUGGUAGAAAUAUAUAGAACAACAUUUUUGUCACUACCAUGACAAGCUUUAACUGAAUUAUUACCAUUUAUAUGUUCGUUUACAUUAAAAGGUGAUUCACCCUUUCAUAGAAACUUUUAUUUUUGGUAUUGGUUUCUUGUAUGGAAGAGGUCGCACUUGGUGCGAUGGCAAGUGCCUUCGCCCAUGAGCGGUAGGUCUCGGGUUCGAGACUUGGGAGCAGCCUCUCCAUAAAUGGGGUAAGGCUAGCAGACAUUCACCUCUCCCAGACCCUGCGUAAAGCGGGAGCCUUGUGCACUGGGUACGACCUUUUUAUUGGUUUCUUGUAUGGAGACUGAGUUUAAUGCUAUAAAUUUUUAAACUUCAAUAUUAUUUGUCCUUUUAAUUAGGGCUGGGCACGGGCCGGGGCGGGCCGGGCCGAACCGAAGUUUGUAGGAAUCGGAGCUUAAAUGAAAUGGGCCGGGACGGGGCGGGGAUUGGAUUUUCUAGUAUAGGAACCAAACAUUACCCGGCCCGGUUGAAACGGGCCGGUUCGGGCCGGGUCCACGGGUACCCAUUUAAAAAAAAAAAAAAACUGCACUGCACAGUUUGAAAAUUGCACAGUUUGCAAACUGCACAGAUUGCAAACUGCACAGAUUUGCACAGAUUGCAAUUUGCAACUGCACAAUCACAAUGACACUGCAUUUAUGCAGAUUUUGCACAAAUUCACCAUUAUUCACAUCUAAUCUAAAUACAAAGUCUAACAUCCAAGUUCAUAAAUUAAGUUUUAACAAUACAUCCAAAAUAACAAUAUAUUUACAAUGGGGCAAUAUAGGAAUAGAUAAGAGCAAGUCCACCCCUAAGGACUUUGUGCCAGCACCCAGCGCAUUUAUCCACUCAAGUGAACAGUAAUAGACCCUAGUGAACAGUAACAGACCAAAGCAUCUCCACCCCUAAAAAAAUGCGCUGGCACCUAGCGCAUUUAUUUGGUAUGUUUUUUUUUUUAAGUUUAUUUCGGAUAUGAUUUUUAACCAAUUUUGGAUAAAAUUUCAAUAAACUUAAAAAAAAAACACACUGAAAUAAAAUUACAUACUCAUCAAAUAAACUUUAAAAAAAAACACACUAAAAUAAAAUUAUAUAAACUCAUCAAAUAAACUAUAGAAAGAAAAAAAUAAUUUUUUUUUAAAUUUUCUGUAUUUUUUAAUAAAUUUUCUGUAUUUUAAAUAAAUUUUAAUUAAGUUAAUUAAUCUGGACCGUUGAUCUUUGAUCGAACGGUCCAGUUUAAAAGUAAAUUUUAAAUUUUUUUUAUUGUUGGAAAUCCAACGGUCUAGAAAAACUAACCGUUGGAAAUCCAACGGCUAUUGUGAAGCCACGUCGCUGAGCCCAAGUGGGCUGACACCUUUUCAGGUUUCCCUGAAACCCACUCGCGCCUUGCGCGCUUGUGUUGCACGCGCCUGAGAAACAGGCCGGCUUCUGGGUCAGUCCAAAAAUGUGCUGGCUGCUGUUGCUGUUGCCUGAUGCAUGGGCUGGGUGCCAGGCAAUGUAACGGGCUGGAGCAAAAAAACAGGGGGCUGGCCUAUUUUUUUGGCUGGGUGCUGGGGAGUUGGUUUUGGGGUGGAUUUGCUCUAAUCAAUAUCCUUGCUCCUCAAAGAAUGUAUGCUCAGUCUUGCUCAGUCUUGCUCCUCAAAGAAUGUAUGCUGGAUCUAUUUACAAUGGGGCAAUAUAGGAAUAGAUAAUCAAUAUCCUUGCAAGCUUUUACAAAUAAUACACACGGAACACACACACAACAUAGAACACACACACAACACAACACAACACACACACAUACAUAACACACACACACACACACAACAUAGAACACACACACAACAUAGAACACACACACAACACAACACACAUACUUAACACACACACACAACAUAGAACACACACACAUAACACAAUACACACACACACAUACAUAACACACACACACACAACACACACACACACACACACACACACACACACACACACACACACACACACACACACACACACACACACACAGAACGCACGCACACACAGAGAACACACACACACACAGAACGCACGCACACACAGAGACACACACAACACAGAACACACACACACACACACACAGAACACAGAACACAGAACACACACACAACACAACACAGAACACACACACACACACACACACACACAAAACAACACACACACACACACACACACACACACACACACACACACACACACACACACACACACACACAAAACACAUAACAUAACACACACAACACAAAACUAGAUAACAACAACAAAAUCCAAAUAUAACGGUGAUGUUGAAACUAAGAAUAUGGCAAAUUGAGAAGAUUGGUCCAUCUAUAAUACGACACUAACAAUACAUGAGUUUGUAUGAAGGUAAUUGAGCACAGAUUAUCCACCAAAUCAGAAAAUCAGAAAAUUAGAAAAUUAGAAUAUCAGAAAAUCAAUAAAAAAAAAGGUUAAAGAAUUCACCUGAAGCGAUAGAGUGUUGGUGAUCGCUACGGCGGUGAUGUCGUCGGGAAUGAGAGAAGGAAAAUCGGGAAGAAUAAGAUGGGUGGUGCGGGUGCCUGCCUGGGUUCUCUAGGUCACGCCGGUGGUGAUGUCGGGGGUGGGCAAGGAGACAACUGAGGGGGAGACGGGGAGUGAGUCGAGUGACG
rnacentral:lncRNA from 1 species